rnacentral:rRNA from 1 species
AUUUGGAGAGGAUGCUUUUGGCGCGGCGCCGUCCGAGUUCCUUGGAACAGGACGCCAUAGAGGGUGAGAGCCCCGUACGGGCGGCCGCCUAGCCUUUGUAAAGCUCCUUCGACGAGUCGAGUAGUUUGGGAAUGCUGCUCAAAAUGGGAGGUAAAUUUCUUCUAAAGCUAAAUACCGGCCAGAGACCGAUAGCGCACAAGUAGAGUGAUCGAAAGAUGAAAAGCACUUUGAAAAGAGGGUUAAAAAGUACGUGAAAUUGUUGAAAGGGAAGCGCCUGUGACCAGACUUGCGACCCGUGGAUCAUCCGGUGUUCUUCACCGGUGCACUCCGCGGGCUGCAGGCCAGCAUCGGUUUUUCUAGGGGGAUAAAGGUCGCGGGAACGUAGCUCCCUCGGGAGUGUUAUAGCCCGUGGCGUCAUGCCUCUGGGGAGACCGAGGACCGCGCUUCGGCAAGGAUGCUGGCGUAAUGGUCACCGGCGACCCGUCUUGAAACACGGACCAAGGAGUCAAGCAUUGGGGCGAGUGUCUGGGUGCCAAACCCGCACGCGAAAUGAAAGUAAACGCAGGUGAGAGCUUCGGCGCAUCACCGACCGAUCCUGAUGUCUUCGGAUGGAUUUGAGUAAGAGCCUUACCGCUUGGACCCGAAAGAUGGUGAACUAUGCCUGUAUAGGGUGAAGCCAGAGGAAACUCUGGUGGAGG